rnacentral:tRNA from 1 species
UCCUUGGUGGCUCAGUGGUAAAGGCCCUGCCUGCAAUGCAGGAGACCCCAGUUCAAUCUCUGGGUCGGGAAG